rnacentral:lncRNA from 1 species
AUGCGUCGCCUCAGAGCUGCUGCGAUAAUAGUUGCUGACCCGCGGAGAGCGACGGGACUGGAGGGACCCAGAUGGCGUGAGGCGGCGGUGACCAGGGCGAGGGCCUGUCUGUCUGCCAGACUGACAGCAGCUCGGUGCCACAGGCUCAUUAUCAGGCAGCAGCCGACGACGGGCCGGCGGCCUCCAGACGACCGCGCAGCUGACCGCACGCAUGUAAACAUGCACGUAGACACGCACACAGAAAUACACACGUAAACACACACACGCACACACACACAUACACACACACACACAGAAAUACACAUGUAAACACACACAUAAACACACACACAGAAAUACACACGUAAACACACACAUGAACACACACAUGCACGCACACACAGAAAUACACACGUAAACUCACACAUGAACACACACACGCACGCACACACAGAAAUACACACGUAAACACACACAUAAACACACACACACACACACACACACACACACACACACACACACACACACACACACACACACACACACACACACACACACACACACACCACAGUGCACAGUGGCACAUUACUUAUAGAGCAAACUAGAGUUCGGAGGCAUUAACACACUUUGAGUGUGAUCCUUACGCCAGAAGACCAAGGACGAGGACAAAAGUGCACACUGCGCAGGUUUGUCUCCCAGAUUAAUGACUGCGUAGAAGCCGUGCGUGAGGUUCGGUCUGUUUCCAGAGACAUCCGAGCAGAUUCCCCAGUGCUUGGACGACGGGACGCCUGAUACCAUUCAAACAGAUGGUGCCGCGCGUACGGUGGGGAGUACAAACAGAAACAGGAGAACAGCACGGAGCUAAAAAUAGUUUCAUAAGGACGACGUGGUUUACUGAGCGGAGUUGUGAUUCUACAAAGACGUCUCAGACACAGAGCCGCUUUUGUAUUUGGAAACAGUCAGAAUAAGAUGGAGAAGUUGAGAUGGGAGUCACCAAAGGCCGUGUUGGGUGAAAGGUACUCCACCCUGGCUAAUUUACUGCACCCGUUGACCCAGAUUAGCUAGCUACAGCUAGCUACAGCUACAGCUAGCUAAGUAGAAAACAGCUGAUCUCCAGGUCUAAGCUGAUGCUCAUUUACUAACAGCUGUUGUCAUUGAACACUGCAAACUGUGAAUUGUGGCCCCACACAUACGCCUGAGAGCUCCUCAACCAGCCAGUAAUUGCUGAUUUUACCAUCACACGUCAUUAUCACCAAUCUGAACAUUCAAGAUUUUUCAAACCAACUGAAUCCUGUUUGCCAGUCUUCACUUUCUCUGUUCGUACUCUUCUGACACAAGGCUUUUCUCGGCUGCAGCACGUCUGAUGUUUGUGCGACCCACAUUCGGACACAUCUGCCGUGAGGAGCAGUGGCCCCUGCUUGACUUCCACCGACUGGGACGCACAAAGGAGCUGCUGGCCACAGGAUUCAUGACAGCAGCAGCAGAGUGUCAAAUAAUGCCAGCAUCAUCCUUUAAACCUUCUGAAAUGACUGUUUCUGGCCCCUCCCCCAGAAGUUAAUCCCAACCAAUGAGAGCCCUGCGUUCUCCUGCGCAUUCCCAGCUGAAAGUUCAUUGCGCAGAUGGACGCGCAGACCCUCCGCAGCCUCCUCCAUGUGUUCCCUCUUUGUGCCACAUAUUAUAAGCCCGGUGUUUGUUGACUGUGUGCUGUAAACUGCCGCAUUACAGAUUGUCGACUGAAUGUGAGUCACAGACAAAUCCUGGCGUCCCCCGUUGCUCCGCUGAGCUGAGCUCGCGAUGAUGUCAGCAGAGCGGCAGCUAAUCAGCCAGGCUCGCUCUUUGAAACGGCUCCAAGCCCGAAUCGGAGCCCAGACACAUUCCUGCAGCACACGAUUCACAUGCACAAGCCCGGCUUAUGCAAAUCACCAGAUGUAUGCAGUCAUGCACGGGCCGACACACACAAGCGCAAGUUCAGGAAGUGAAGUCCAACGUGUUUAAAGCACGCCGACACAUUAACGGUGAUGGACACACGCAGCUGUGGGCCCAGAGCGGCAGCAUCAGGCCUGCUGCUGACUCACAGCACCUGAGGGCCUUCCUGCCCUACAAUAACACGUUUUCAUAAUCAUCCUUCCUGCGGCUAAUAACCUUUCAGAGGCUGAGCUGCAGCUACUGUGGCGUUGGAGUUAAACAAGUGCCUCAUCCGCACCUUUAACAUAUUAACCGUAACCUGCUACUCACACACAAAUAAAGGCACCAGUGGGAUUUGAGCUUUCGCA